rnacentral:rRNA from 1 species
CCUACGGGUGGCAGCAGUGAGGAAUAUUGGUCAAUGGGCGUAAGCCUGAACCAGCCAAGCCGCGUGAGGGAUGAAGGUCCUAUGGAUCGUAAACCUCUUUUGUAAGGGAAUAAAGUCCGGGACGUGUCCCGCAUUGAAUUUACCUUAUGAAUAAGGAUCGGCUAACUCCGUGCCAUCAGCCGCGGUACUACGGAGGAGCCGAGCGUUAACCGGAUUUAUUGGGUUUAAAGGGUUCGUAGGCGGCCUUUUAAGUCAGCUGUGAAAGCCUCUGGCUCAACCAUAGAAGUGCCGUUGAAACUGGCAGGCUGGAGUAGGUUAGAGGCAGGCGGAAUGCGAGGUGUAGCGGUGAAAUGCUUAGAUAUCACGCAGAACCCCGAUUGCGAAGGCAGCGUGC